rnacentral:rRNA from 1 species
AUUGAACGCUGGCGGUAUGCUUAACACAUGCAAGUCGAACGGUAGCAGGCCUUCGGGCGCUGACGAGUGGCGGACGGGUGCGUAACGCGUAGGAAUCUGCCUGUUAGUGGGGGACAACGUGGGGAAACUCACGCUAAUACCGCAUACGCCCUACGGGGGAAAGCGGGGGCUCUUCGGACCUCGCGCUAACAGAUGAGCCUGCGUUGGAUUAGCUAGUUGGUAGGGUAAAGGCUUACCAAGGCGACGAUCCAUAGCUGGUCUGAGAGGACGAUCAGCCACACUGGGACUGAGACACGGCCCAGACUCCUACGGGAGGCAGCAGUGGGGAAUAUUGGACAAUGGGCGCAAGCCUGAUCCAGCAAUACCGCGUGUGUGAAGAAGGCCUGAGGGUUGUAAAGCACUUUCAAUAGGGAGGAACACCGGCCGGCGAAUACCUGGUCGCUUGACAUUACCUAUAGAAGAAGCACCGGCUAACUCCGUGCCAGCCGCCGCCGUAAAAC